UUAUCGGAGAGUUUGAUCCUGGCUCUGGACGAUCGCUGGCGGCGUGCCUAAUACAUGCGAGUCGAGCGGACAG
rnacentral:rRNA from 1 species